GCCUGGGUGGCUCAGUCAGUUAAGCGUCUGACUUCAGCUCAGGUCAUGAUCUCGCAGUUUGUGAGUUCAAGUCCCGCAUCAGGCU
rnacentral:tRNA from 1 species